GGUUUAUAGGUGUAAUGGUCAGCACGUCGGUUUUUGAUACCGGAGAUAUUGGUUCGAUUCCUAUAUGGACCU
rnacentral:tRNA from 1 species